GUAGGUGGCAAGCGUUGUCCGGGAAUUAUUGGGGCGUAAAGCGCGCGCAGGCGGUUCUUUAAGUCUGAUGUGAAAGCCCACGGGCUCAACCGUGGAGGGUCAUUGGAAACUGGAGAACUUGAGUACAGAAGAGGAAAGCGGAAUUCCACGUGUAGCGGUGAAAUGCGUAGAGAUGUGGAGGAACACCAGUGGCGAAGGCGGCUUUCUGGUCUGUAACUGACGCUGAGGCGCGAAAGCGUGGGGAGCAAACAGGAUUAGAUACCCUGGUAGUCCACGCCGUAAACGAUGAGUGCUAAGUGUUAGGGGGUUUCCGCCCCUUAGUGCUGCAGCAAACGCAUUAAGCACUCCGCCUGGGGAGUACGGCCGCAAAGGCUGA
rnacentral:rRNA from 1 species